rnacentral:rRNA from 1 species
GACAAACGCUGGCGGCGUGCUUAACACAUGCAAGUCGAACGGUCCCUUUCUUAUGAGGGGGAUAGUGGCGGACGGGUGAGUAACACGUAGACGACCUGCCUCGAAGUGGGGAAUAACGUCUCGAAAGGGACGCUAAUACCGCAUAAGCUCUCUAUCGUUGGGUAGAGAGGAAACGCCUUUAGGGGUGGCUUUGAGAGGGGUCUGCGGCGGAUUAGCUAGUUGGGUAGGUAACGGCUGCCCAAGGCGACGANCCGUAGCUGGUCUGAGAGGACGGCCAGCCACACUGGGACUGAGACACGGCCCAGACUCCUACGGGAGGCAGCAGUGAGGGAAUAUUCCACAAUGGGCGCAAGCCCUGAUGGAGCGACGCCGCGUGA